GGUAAGAUGGCCGAGCGGUCUAAGGCGCUAGCUUCAGGUUACGUCCAAUGUAACUGCUAGUAUCGUAAGAUGCGUGGUUAGUUUCCCCUCCUUCCCUUGCACCGGUCUCUUGCUAACUCUCAAUAGGGUUCAAAUCCCACUCUUAUCA
rnacentral:tRNA from 1 species